rnacentral:rRNA from 1 species
GACGAACGCUGGCGGCGUGCUUAACACAUGCAAGUCGAGCGAUGAAGCACCUUCGGGUGUGAAUUAGCGGCGAACGGGUGAGGAACACGUGAGGAGUCUGCCUUCAACUCUGGGAUAACUCCGGGAAACCGGGGCUAAUACCGGAUACUUUCAACUGGCGGCAUCGCCGGUUGAAGAAAGUUUUUCGGUGGAAGAUGACCUCGCGGCCUAUCAGCGUGUUGGUGAGGUAAAGGCUCACCAAGGCGACGACGGGUAGCCGGCCUGGGAGGGCGACCGGCCACACUGGGACUGAGAUACGGCCCAGACUCCUACGGGAGGCAGCAGUGGGGAAUAUUUCACAAUGGGCGCAAGCCUGAUGCAGCGACGCCGCGUGAGGGAUGACGGCCUUCGGGUUGUAAACCUCUUUCAGUAGGGACGAAGCGCAAGUGACGGUACCUACAGAAGAAGGACCGGCCAACUACGUGCCAGCCGCCGCGGUAA